GAUGAAGAACGCAGCGAAAUGCGAAAAGUAAUGUGAAUUGCAGAAUUCAGUGAAUCAUCGAAUCUUUGAACGCACAUUGCGCCCGCUGGUACUCCGGCGGGCACGCCUGUCCGAGCGUCAUUUCAACCCUCAAGCCCUCCUUCGGGAUGGGCCUGGUGUUGGGGCUCGGCCGCCAUCUCCGGCGGCCGUCCCCUAAAUACAGUGGCGGUCACGUCGCGACUCCUUUGCGUAGUAAAAACACCUCGCUCCGGAUAGCAACGCGGUCCACGCCGUAAAACCCCCAAUUUUCAAUGGUUGACCUCGGAUCAGGUGGGAAUACCCGCUGAACUUAAGCAUAUCAAUAAGCGGAGGA
rnacentral:misc_RNA from 1 species